rnacentral:rRNA from 1 species
UACGUAGGUGGCAAGCGUUGUCCGGAAUUAUUGGGCGUAAAGCGCGCGCAGGCGGUCUUUUAAGUCUGAUGUGAAAGCUCACGGCUCAACCGUGGAGGGUCAUUGGAAACUGGGAGACUUGAGUGCAGAAGAGAAGAGUGGAAUUCCACGUGUAGCGGUGAAAUGCGUAGAUAUCCGGAGGAACACCAGCGGCGAAGGCGGCUUUCUGGUCCGAUUCUGACGCUGAGACGCGAAAGCGUGGGGAGCGAACAGG